UGAGGAGUUCAAGAGUACGUGAAACCGCUUAGUAGUAAACGGAGGGACUCUCGAAGUCGGCGGUGACGGUUCAGGGUGACGGCGGGGCGGCCUGGGGGCUUGGGAUCCGCAAGGACCCUGCCCUUUUGUCAGCUCUGUCGGCGCCUGCACUUCGUUGCCGCCAUACGCGAUGAACCGUUUCCGGCGGACCGAGGGCGUGGGUGAAGUUUGUUGGCCUCGGCUUUCAAGCCCCGCGUUCCUGGCUCUGUCGGGGACGGGUAGUGGAGCGAUCUCUUAUAGAGAGUGCCCUUGCUGGCACGGUUCGCAUCUCUAUCGCGAGUAGGUCGGCGGUCCCUCCGACCCGUCUUGAAACACGGAC
rnacentral:rRNA from 1 species